UACGUAGGUGGCAAGCGUUGUCCGGAAUUAUUGGGCGUAAAGCGCGCGCAGGCGGUCUUUUAAGUCUGAUGUGAAAGCCCACGGCUCAACCGUGGAGGGUCAUUGGAAACUGGGAGACUUGAGUGCAGAAGAGAAGAGUGGAAUUCCACGUGUAGCGGUGAAAUGCGUAGAGAUGUGGAGGAACACCAGUGGCGAAGGCGACUCUUUGGCCUGUAACUGACGCUGAGGCGCGAAAGCGUGGGGAGCAAACAGG
rnacentral:rRNA from 1 species